AAGCCCCGGCAGGACAUUACCCUGCUAUUUCAGAUUUGCAAUCUGGCGUGUUCUAACACCUCAGGGCU
rnacentral:tRNA from 1 species